GUCAUAUGCUUUGUUCAAGGACUAAGCCAUGCACGCGUGAGAGCAAGUAGCGCGCCUCUACCUAACCUGUCUGCGAAUGGCUCAUUAGACCAGUGACAAUCUCAGCAGGGAGUGUGAAGAAGCCCUCUUCGUGAGGGAGGGAGUUUAAACCUAAACAACCCUCGGGGUUGUGCAAACAGCCUCUGUGACCGGGUUGCAGGACCUAAACCCUCGACGAGCGUGGAACACCCUCUUUUUCUGAAACAGUUGGCUAAUACAUGUGGUGCAGGAUCCCGGUACUUCCUACUCAUCUCUCGGGGUGAGGACGGAUGCACUGGGCUGAAACAAAGAGGUGUUUACCACCCCUCCGGGGGUACAGAUGCCAUAUGUGGAACCAAGCCUACUGUUAUCGGAACUCGAUGGGUACCAUGAACUAACCUGCUGGCUCUCCACCUCGGCACUGCGCUUCGGCGCUUUGCCCGGAGAGAGGCAGGGAAGGUCCCCUCACGAAAGGGUUUCCGCUGCGUGUGAUGCGCUAGUGGGGGAUCUGCGAACACCCACUACCCUGCCUGAGUUUCUGCCCUAUCAGCCGUCCAUUGCGGUCCCGAGGACCACGGUGGCGAUGACGGGUAACGCGGAAUGAGGGUUCGAUUCCGGAGAGGGAGCCUGAAAUACGGCUACUACGACCAAGGUUGGCAGCAGGCGCGCAAAUUGCUCAAUAUCGAUGUGUGUUGGUGAAGCAGCGACGAGGAGUGGUACCAUCAUCGGUCUCAUGACCGGUGUUGGUGGAAUGAAUGACGACCCAAGAAAUGCAGUGAGCAUCCACUUGUGGGCCAGUCUGGUGCCAGCAGCCGCGGUAAUUCCAGCACAAGUGGCAUACUUUGACGUUGUUGCCGUUAAAAAGCUCGUAGUUGGUUGGCAUCCGAGGGACUGCCCUAUGGACCGCCUGGCAACCGCUGAGUGGUCUGUUACGUAAGCCCCUUGAUGUGCCCGCUCUCCCUCGGGAGACGGCCUCCUAACCCAUCCGGGCUCUGGGGGUGCCGUUCUCUCUGGGGGCAGAGCAUCUCAGUGGGAUCGAUUUUCCGAAGAGGAGAGGCGGGUCUGGCCCUAGUCCCCCUUCGCGGGGGGUUCUGGACCGCCGUCUCUCCGCCGUGUAUCCUCUCCUCGGAGAGAGAUACCGUUGUUGGCCUACAUCCUUAAACCAACGCAGCAAAGUGGCCCGAGGGGCUCCCUCAUCUCGGCACGGAAGGAGGAGUGGGGGGAGAGACUUCGGCUCUCUCUCUGCUUGCUCGCCCAUGCCCGGGGGCAGCGCCAAAGGCAAAGGAGAUGCCCACUGGUAUUGUACCAUGAGGAAAGCUGAGCGCUCCAAGCAAGUUGUCCUUCCUGCCGAUCGGAUGUUCAAGCGUGGCAUAACAAGGGACCGGUCCAUUGGACCUUCUGUUCUGGCAUUCUUUACUGGCCCCGCUGUGGACGAACUUCGCUUCCCCUUACGGACUUCUCGUUCUUGGCCCUUGGCGGGGGUUGGGUAGGUACUUGCUUGGUCCAUGCUCCUCGCAUGCUCCUCCCUUCUCCCCCGAGGUCGCCUCGAGUUGGCCCGGGGAACGAGGUGUUGACGGAGGUCGUUUCGGUGUGGAGGGUACUGGAUGGCGAGCGGUUAAACGCUUUGACCCAUCUCAGGACCACCAAAGGCGAAAGCACUCCACAGGUCUCGACCUGCCAAUCAAGAGCGAGUGUGCUGUGAUCGAAGAGGAUCAGAUACCCUCGUAGUCCGCGCUGUAAACUGUGCCUACCGAGGAUGCCAGCUGCGUUCUUCGGAAUGUCCGCUGGUGUCCUUCCCCCGCAACGAGAAAUCCAAGUGUAUGGGUUCAGGGGGGAGUACGGUUGCAAGACUGAAACUUAAAGGAAUUGACGGAAUGGCACCACAAGGCGUGGAGUGUGCGGCUUAAUUUGACUCAACACGGGGAACGUUACCUGGAUAGCACGUGGGAAGGAUAUGACAGAUGGCCGACCUCUCUCGAUGACUCGGAAAGUGGUGCAUGGUCGUUCCUGGUUGGUGAAGUGAUUUGUCUGGUUGAUUCCGAUAACGAGCGAGGUCUUCACCUUCCAGUAGCCGGCGCUCUCGCUCGCUGUAGGGCUCCUAGGUUCCCCCAGGCAAGCUUCGGCUCGCUCUGGGGGCGCCCAGCCCGAGAGUGGCGCACUGGUUGCUUCUCAGUGGGUUCGGGCAUUUGUCUAUGACAAAGUGCCCACAACCGGAAGCCGACAGCAGGUCUGUGAUGCCCUUAGAUGCCCAGGGCCGCACGCGCACGACAAUGCUGCCGUGAGUGUGCUGUACUCCCCUGUGGCAUGGGUGUCGGGGCCCACGAUGGGGGGUUCGCUCCCCGGAGUGGUGUCUUCGGCGCCCCACCCGCAGCUAUCCAGGAGUCCGUGGUUCGAAGAUGGACCGGGAAAUCCCCGAAGCCGCUCAGAGACGUGAUUGGGGCUCGGUGCUUGCUACUGUUCUCCUUCAACGAGGAAUGCCCAGUAAGUGCAUGUCAACAGCAUGCGCUGACUGCGUCCCUGCCAUUUGUACACACCGCCCGUCGUUGCUACCGAUGGCGCUGGGAUAAAGGCCUGAGGAAGCUAGUAGCGAGGUCUGUGGUGCCACACCACGGACCUCGUGAACGAAGAAUUCGGCCAAUAUCCCAUUGCUGGAGGAAGCAAAAGUCGUAACAAGGUUGCUGUAGGUGA
rnacentral:rRNA from 1 species